UUUUCAUAAUCAUGUUAAGCUUGGUUCAAGAGCUAUUGAGGAGAAAACCGAAUCCAUCGAAUAUCCAAUAUACAACUACGUUUACCUUGAUCAGGAAGCGCACUUUGCCGUGUCGUGCGAUGCCCAUAGACUAUCACACAGAGCCUCCUUAUUGCAUCAGGCAUCGUCCACUCCGCAGAGAGAGAGAGAGAGAGAGAGAGAGAGAGGACAGCUAGACUACAUGUCAUGGACUGGUGGACUACCCUGGCUGCGAGUAUAGCCUUCCUCUGGCUGCUGUGUUAUAUCGACGGUAAGAGAACCUGGUUAGCAGAGGUAUGGGAGCUUUCUUCGUCAAGGGAACGGUGCAGUACUGGCAAGCGCACUGGUCUUCCUCCUAAUUGCGGCAACGCCGUCCUGGAGCUGCGGCUCCUCCUCCACGCCCUCACCAAAGCAGCGUGCCACCUGUACCUAGCCGUGCUCCCACUGCGCCGCGCCACACUGCACCUUGCCCGCUUUGUCUGUUACCUGGUAAACCAUGGCCCCGCCUCCGCUGGCCGGGCGUCUCCUCUUUUCCUCGAGGGGGUGUGUGUGAUAUGUGAAGCGGUACCGGACCUGCUGGGAGCCGGGCUCAGUCUGUGUGCAGUAGUAUGUCACAUCCUACAGGGGGCACUGUUCCUGCUGGCCGCCACGGUGAGGUCGGUCCAGGUGAGUGUUCUGGCCCAGGUGGACGGGGAGAAGGAGAGAUGGGAGAAGGAGCAGCAUCAGGCGCGGCAGGACGAGAGGAGACAGAACUCCAGGGUGGUGGAAUACCUUUCUGUGUUCUGUCAAGACCCCAUCAGUUCACUACGACUCAAAGUGGACAUGAUCAAUAGAUAACGGCACCGUCUGUCUGUCUGUCUGUCUGUCUGUCUGUCUGUCUGUCUGUCUGUCUGUCUGUCUGUCUGUCUGUCUGUCUGUCUGUCUGUCUGUCUGUCAAGGUGGACAUGAUCAAUAGAUAACAUCACUGUCUGUCUGUCUGUCAGCGUUGGGCUCAAUUCAGACUUGAGUUAAGAAUACUUCAAAUUCCAAUUCAAUUCUUGAAUUUGAAUUGAAGUUGUAAACAGGAUACAGAAUUGAAUUUGAAUUGAAGUUGUAAACAAGAUACAGAAUUGAAUUUGAAUUGAAGUUGUAAACAGGAUACAGAAUUGAAUUUGAAUUGAAGUUGUAAACAGGAUACAGAAUUGAAAUUUGAAUGAAAGGAAAUAGAAUUGAAUUCAGUGAAAUGCAAAUGCCUCUUGUAUUGUAUAUUAGCUGUAGUCUAUACAAAUAUGUAUCUAAAUAUCACGUAAAACAUGUUAUUAUAUACAGUGAGGGGAAAAGUAUUUGAUCCCCUGCUGAUUUUGUUCGUUUGCCCACUGACAAAGAAAUGAUCAUUCUAUAAUUUUAAUGGUAGGUUUAUUUGAACAGUGAGAGACAGAAUAACAACAUA
rnacentral:lncRNA from 1 species